UCCGACCUGAAUAAAAAUCUUGUUGCAUUCACACAAAACAAAAGGUGAGAAAAGUGAGUGACGCGAUUUUCAUUUUCCUGCUUUUGAAAUUGGUUGUCUGAGAGAUUGAUUAGGAAAGCCAAGUUGAUGAUUGAAUACCGACUACCUCUCCAAUCUCUGUUACCUCUUCAUUGAUUAGAUUUCCCCUCCCCUCCCCUCCAGCAUGGAUUCAUAUGGUUCACUACUCUAAUGACUAGAUAUACCCUACUAGCUAGUUUGCAU
rnacentral:lncRNA from 1 species